GAAAUGACAAAGAAAGAACAUAUCAAUUCUUUAAAUAACAAGAUGCAUGAUGUUAGGGGUCAAGUAGUCUAACGGCCCAAUUUUGCCUAAAAUUUUCUACAAGUGUGGUGGAUUGUUUUGUUUCUGGGGUUUCUAAGGUGGGAGUGAAUUUGUUGGGCUGUUGAGGUUUUUGGAUUUGGGUGGUGUUUGAUUUUUUUAAGGUUGUUUUGUAUUUUGUGGGGGGUGUGGACUAUGGAGUGAAUGCAUUGGCAUCAUCAUGGUGGAGGAGAAUGUUGGGGAAUGCUUGUGCAAUGGCUUGAAGCAAAUUGAGGGUAGUGGCUGGUUUGAGCUAGGGUUUCAUGUUUUUAUGUGAUUGGUUGAUAUAAGUACUAGUGUGGCUUUGUGUAAAGGAGAAAAACAAAAGAAGGUAAAGCUUGAUUAUAUGAAGCUUUCAACAUCAGGGUUGGGGCAGCAGGGACAUGAAGGAGGGGAGAAGAAGUGUCUGAAUUCUGAGCUAUGGCAUGCAUGCACGGGCCCCUUGGUGUCCCUACCAACUGCAGGGACUCGUGUGGUUUACUUCCCUCAAGGUUGCUGCCACAACUAACAGAGAAAUUGAUGGACACAUUCCCAAUUACCCUAGCUUGCCACCCUAGUUGAUUUGCCAACUUCAUAAUGUCACAAUGCAUAUGGG